GAGUUAGGAAUAACGGACUGGAAACGGUACGCUAAUACCAAAUAACGCUCCGAUUUCAACUUCGGGGGAAAGGUGGCCUCUGCUUGCAAGCUACUGCUCAUGGAUGAGUCCGCGUCCCAUUAGCUAGUUGGUGGGGUAACGGCCCACCAAGGCGACGAUGGGUAGCCGGUCUGAGAGGAUGACCGGCCACACUGGGACUGGAACACGGCCCAGACUCCUACGGGAGGCAGCAGUGGGGAAUAUUGCGCAAUGGGCGAAAGCCUGACGCAGCGACGCCGCGUGAGGGAUGAAAAGGUCCUCGGAUCGUAAACCUCUGUCAGGAGGGAAGAACCGCCACGGUGCUAAUCAGCCGUGGUCUGACGGUACCUCCAAAGGAAGCACCGGCUAACUCCGUGCCAGCAGCAGC
rnacentral:rRNA from 1 species